rnacentral:lncRNA from 10 species
GGUUCCAAGCCGGGAGCCCGAGCGCUCGCGGGAUCCGGGGACGCCCAGGCGGGGAGGGCUCGUGGCGUGUGGCGCUGGGCGCGCGGCUGCUCAGGCGGCUCCUAGGCGUGAACUAGGCUGGGGAAGCCCAGACCCAGAGCGGGGGCGAGGGCGAGUCGGGCCGGGGUUCUAUCGCUGUCAUCCAGGGCCCGCCCGCCCACCUCAGGGACCGUGAGAGCGAACCGGGAGUGCGGGGGAGGAGCGGCUGGGCCCGCCUGGGCAGGGGCCGCCCAGGAGAGGCGGGGCCUUGACCCCGGGCCUCGAUCUAUGGCACGGUGUCUUUCCGGGUGUCGCUGGGAAAUUGAGGAUAGGAAGUCACGGCCACUUGGUUCUUGGGACACUGUAUAGCAGUGAGCUGCCUUGCCUCUGCCACCUGUCGGUGGGAUGGGGCUGCUGGUGCCUGGGGUCCCCUGUGCUCCCCCGGAACCGAAAGGCUGUUCCCUAGUCCCCGCCGGCAAAGAGCCCACCUUUGGGGGACCGAAGUGGGGAAGCUGAUUGCCCCAAGAGAGGCCUGAUUCUUGUUCUCACCAGGAGAUAAUGGUCCUUGUGGUGAGGGGUCACUUUCCCCCCUUUAUCCAGUCCAGGUGGAGGGCCGGCCCACACUGCGGGAAUCCGAAAGAGGGGCUUCCCUAUGGGCUGUCUGGGGACCCCGGGCUGGGCGCGAAGAGAGGACCGGCUUGGCGGCUCGGUGCUGCCCCCUGGAGGUUCCCUCUCCACUCCCAGCCCCGGACUCCGGCCGCGCGGGCUCUUCCGCCGCCUCCUCGCUCCUCCUCCCGGAUGCGGCGCUGGGCGCGGAGCCAGGCCGGGGGAGCCUUCGACGCAGUGAGCACGAACUGAGCAGGCGCUGCAGCCCGGGCUCCCCCUGCAGUCCCUGGGGAGCCGUCACUGCCGAGGCGCCCAGACUCCGGGAUAACACUCCUCACCCCGAGCCUGGCCAAGGCGAGGGGGAGAAGGAAGCAGGGGGUGGGUGGUGGCGAGGGAGAACGAUUCCCGCAGGUCUCCCUGGGGCCGAACGCGAACAGGGAAGCCCUCCCCGCCCCCACGACGCAGUCAGUUGCUCACCCCAAAGGGAACAGGGAUUCCGGGAAGGGAAGGCUCCUCCUGCUCUAGCUCUGAAUCCAGAGGAGGUGCUGUUUUUUCUGGAUUUAAAAAGAAAGCAGAAAGAGAAUGUGGGGAAGGAGGGUGCUUGACGACACCGAGAGGGAAGGGAGGAGGUGAGGGCCUCUGUGAACCCCAACAGCCUCUGGAGGUCGGGGUCAGGGGGAUUAGGUGGGGGAGGGUGUAACUUUCUUGGACUUAAUCCCUCUGUGGCUGUCCCCCCUCCAAACAUGUUUUCUUAUAAAAACCAACUUAAUGAACCAGGACUCCCUCGUCUCGGAGCCUGCCGUCUCAAGUCCGCUGGGGAGGUGGGGGGCUCACUCCCACUGUCUACCGAGUUGUCCAUUGGGGCAGGAGUGAUGCGCCUCUCAGAGGACUCCUGCCGCAAGGGCAGGAAGGCCAGGCUGUUGCAGCGCAGAUGGCCUUGUGUCUGAAUGUCCAUUUUGCCACUCCCUGGUAGGGUACCUUAGCCAAAUUUUUUUUUUAAUGUUUUUAUUCUUUCUGAGACGGGGUCUCACGCUGGCACCCAGGUUGGAGUGCAGUGGCGCGAGCUCACUGCAACCUCCGCCUCCCAGGCUCAAGUGAUCCUCCAGCCUCCUCCUCUCGAGUAGCUUGGACUACAGGUGCCUGCCACCACGCCUGGCUUUUACUUUUUUUUUUUUUUUUUUUUUUUGUAUUUUCGUAGAGAGGGGUUUCGCUGUGUUGCCCAGGCUGGUCUUGAACUCUUGAGCUCAAGCGAUUCACCCACUUCGGCCUCCCAAAGUGCUGGCAUUCCAGGUGUGAGCCACAGCACCCAGCCAGCCAAGCUUUUUGUUUACUUGUUUGUUUUUGCUUUUUUUAAGACAGAGUCUCCCUGUGUCACCCAGGCUGGAGUGCAAUGGGGCAAUUUUGGCUCACUGCGACCUCCGCCUCCUGGGUUCAAGCUAUUUUCCUGCCUCAGCCUCCCUAGUAGCUGGGACCACAGGUGCACCCCACCACACAUGGCUAAUUUUUGUAUUUUUAGUAGAGACCAGGUUUCACCAUGUUGGCCAGCCUGAUCUUGAACUCCUGAUCUCAGGUGAUCCACCUACCUUGGCCUCCCAAAGUGCUGGUAUUACAGGCGUGAGCCACCGUGCCCAGCCAGCCAUGCUUUUUGUGUCUCACUUUCUUCAACUGUAAAAUGGGGCUAAUGUUAAUAAUACCCACAUGGGGCCGGGCACAGUGGCUCAUGCCUGUAAUCCCAGCACUUUGGGAGGCCGAGGCAGGCGGAUCAUGAGAUCAGGAGAUCGAGACCAUCCUGGCUAACACGGUGAAACCCCAUCUCUACUAAAAAUACAAAAAAAUUAGCCGGGCGUGGUGGUGGCCACCUGUAGUCCCAGCUACUCCGGAGGCUGAGGCAGGAGAGUGGCGUGAACCCGGGAGGUGGAGCUUGCAGUGAGCCGAGAUCACAACACUGCACUCAAGCCUGGGCGACAGAGUGAGACUCUGUCUCAAAUAAAUAAAUAAUAGUAAUAAUACCCACAUGGGAGUAUUGUUGUGAGGACUGAAACUUAUGCGGGCUGCCAUAUGUCAAGUCCCAACACACAGUACCUGCCUUGCAAUUGGCAUUCAACAAACAGUGGCUAUUGUUCUUUUCAGAGGCUUUGGAUCCAUAGAGUCAUCCACAGUUCACCCACCCAUCCUCAGCCUCCAAGAAAACUCCAGUGACCCUUUUCUGGAAAGCUGUGCAGAUGGGGAAAAACAUACCAAUCCUAUCACAGGGGACGUAAUCCCUAAGAGUUGAUCUGAACCCAUCUUGCUGCAGUAGAGCGUUUACUAGAGCAGCAUUUUUCAACCUUGACUGUGCAGCAGAAUCGCCUGUGGAAGUCUGAAAAAGACAGCUUUUACCCUGGACCAGCUGCAUCACAAUCUUCCCGAGCUUGCGAGUGGCAGCACUGAGCCAAGGUAUCGGCCUGGGAUUCUUGUGCUGUCACUGGAGAGCCACCCAGACUGGGAGAGAACAUCCUCUGCCCCAGCCAGGGCAAACCAGUUCCCCGAUGAUUCUCCUGUGCAGCUCACCUAACGUAUUUGUCAGGUUCUUGCUGAAGCUCAGCAUGGGAAAUUCUCAUAGUCUACGUCUACAUCUUUUGUUUUGCAUGACCAACAUCAAUUCCCCUUUCUUUUUAUUACUAUUCCCCAGCCAGCAGUUUCCUUUGGGGAGCCACCUUAAUCCAUGUGGUUGGGGGCAGAUAGCCCCUACUCUACAUCUAUAAGUAGGUAUGUUCCCUGGGCCUGGCCAUCCACCCAGGGGUGGCCUAGCCUAGGAGUGGUUCAUUUCCCUAGCUGUAGUGAUUGAGUCAGGAUGGGCACAUGACCCAAACCAGGCCAAUGAGAAUCACUUUUUCCAGAACUCUUGGGAAAGGGAAAUUCCCUUUCCCUGAUGGUACUAAGCCAAUAGGAUGUAAGCCUGGAGGCCGUUUCGCCCACAGGCCUGGAGAGCCUGCCUGAGAAUGAAGCCAAUGCAGGGGAAGUCAGAGAGAAGAGACAUACAGAAGAGAGAGACAAACGUACAGAAGGUCCCUGGACUCAGCCUGAGCUUUUUAGUUAUGCAGGCCAAUGAAUUCCUUUUUUAUUGAAUAAAAUAAAACAUCCUCAGUUAGUUUCUCUCACUCACAACCUAACCAGUUGAACACCCAUUAUCAACAACAAUAAAAACUUCCCUGAG